UCCUCUUUACAGAGGCAGUUUGUUCCGAGUCCCCGACUUUACUCGCUGGUAACAGAACAUGAGGGUUGCGCUCGUUGCGGGACUUAACCCAACAUUUCACAACACGAGCUGACGACAGCCAUGCACCACCUGCACCACACCCUCGAAGGCGACUCCGUUUCGGGAGCUUGCAGUGGCAUGUCAAGCCCUGGUAAGGUUCUUCGCGUUGCAUCGAAUUAAGCCACAUGCUCCACCGCUUGUGCGGGCCCCCGCCAAUUCCUUUGAGUUUCAACCUUGCGGCCGUAGUCCCCAGGCGGUUCACUUAAUGCGUUAGCUGCGGCACCGAAGGUUGCCCCCCGACACCUAGUGAACAUCGUUUAUGGCCAAGACUAC
rnacentral:misc_RNA from 1 species